UUGGCAGCUCCCCACUGCUGCUCUGGGCACUCUCAUCCUCUGCUCGGGCAUUUGCAGCCCUCCAGAACUGGGUUUGAGUCUCUUUUCAUGCAUUUCUUCUAGAGCAGAGAAAGAGCAUCAGUGGGGAUGGGGAAUGUGAGCAAGCAGAGAGCUGAAAGCCUCAAUAAUCCCAUUUUCAAGGGGUGCCCAGACAGCUUUCCUGAAGGAAGUAGUUACACUGAGCAGCCCUGGACUCAGUAUGGGGAUGGUUUUUUCUGUCUGAGAAGAAUUAUUGAUUCCAUUUUAGAAAAAUACCAGCAGUAAAGUUGAUCUAUUUUUUAUUUUAGCUCCAGAUGUGGUGUUUUUUGAAGGGCACAGUAUUAAUUUUGCUAAUGGUUUUAAGUUACAUUUUUAACAUUUUAGAAGAAUAUUUACGUUUGUUUUCACUCUGAAGUGUUUUGUCCUUUCAUUUCUGUAGAGAAUAGAGACUUUGGAUUCUUUAGUAAAAUCUGGGGGGGACUUUAAUCUGAUAUUUGUCUAGCUUGUUUUCGUACAUCCACCUUUCAUUUUGUUCAAAACUUUAAAGUAACAAGUCUGCUGAAGGUACACGAAGCUCACAAAAAUGCAGCAAAGACUGAGAAAAAGCCCUUUUUUAAAAAAAAAAAGAGAAAUUCCCAGGUUUUUCUUGUGCUCAAUCCCAGCCCUGUGUGGAAACACGGGAGCAUCUGGAGUGUGGUGCCACGUCCAGGGCGUUUUGUGCAUUUCCAGAGGCUCAGAUGUUCCUGGGAGGUCUCUCCUUUCUUGCUGCAGCAGAACUGGUGGGUUUGGGGCUUUCAGGGGGAAGGAAGAGGAGGGGAUUGAUGUUUAGAUCCAUUCACAGCUGCUCAGCACCGUUGGCAGGUGGCUGGAAUGAAGAUUUCUCCCCUCUGCUGUGGCUGUGCUAAGUCAGUUUUUUGCAGGAUUUACCAUCUGAAUGGAGGCAGUGGCAGAAUUUCACAAGCAGAUAUUUAACAUCUCCUCUGGAUGGAUUUAUUUUAAGUUUCUGACAAGGCUGCUGGAAAGUAGCUUAAGGGAGACAACUCCUGACUAAGUGGAAAAUUGUUUCUUAUUCCUCCCAUCUUCCCUUGCACCUUGUCUGUGUGCCAGGUUCAGAGACUCGCUGCUGGUAAUCACUUUUAUCACUUCUGCUACUAAACAAAGCUCAUUAUUAUUUCCCUGAGCUUCAUUCACAUCAGAAAAUCUUUCAAUAUUGUAAUUGUUCUGUGCCUUGUCACCCCAUCAGAGGCUGAAUCUGUCACGUUGGCCCCACUUUUGUAAAUUAAACCAAUUUAUGGAAUGCACCUUUACCACUGGUUUUUCUGGUUAAGUUUGACAGUUGUGCUUUCCAGGUUUCAGAGAUGAUUGUUCAGUUGGAUUUUUGUUUUGCUGCCUGUGUUUUUACUUACAGCCAUGGUUAGCAUCACUCAGAUGAUUUUUUGAGGAAAAAGAGCCAAGUAGAUAAUAUUUAACACUUUUCUCUCUGCAGAAUAUCACCUGAAUUUCUUGGAGAAGAAAAAGUUUGUCUGACAAUGCCAAAAAGUUAAACAAAAAAGUACUAAUGUUUCUUUGUGUCGGCAGAAAUAGGAGGAGCCUCUGAAGUGUCUGGCAGUGGAUUAUUGCCGGGGUGCUGGGCAGCCUGGCCCUGAUUGCAGGUGGAUUCCUCCAGGGUGGUUCCUCCUGCUCUCACCAGCCCUGCCUGGGCUCUCUGCAGCAGAGAUGAGGCUGGAGCUGGGGCUGCCCCCCUGGGGAUGUGUGUUUGCACAAGGAGCAGAUGGCCUGAGAGUCUGAGCUUCCAUCUCAAAAGUCAUCUCCCCUCAGGGACCCUCUUUGUUUCUGCUUAUCACUGAAUUCCUGGAGGCUUUCUGCACUCCCUGGUUUUUAUUGGACUGAAGAAUCCUUUUGGAGGGUGUAAAAGUGACACCCUGGUCUGCUCUGUGCUUUCUUUGAUUCCUCAGCUGCCUGAAGAUUUGUUGGUGAUGGGAAAGGUACAGAAUUUCAGGCUGAACAUCUCUCUGAGUGUUUGAGGAAAUCUGAGCUGUCUCAGUAGAGUUUUGGGAUGCAGCAAUUACAAUAUUCAAGGCAGAGUUUCUCAUUCCUGUCAUAAACAAAGCUCUUUGCCAGUGGUUGUGGAUGAGACUCUCUUCAGAGGAUGUGAGAGUGAUGGAAACUGCUUGGAGUGUCAGAUUCAUGUAGGAGGCCAGUGACAAGAAAAAUACCAUUCCUAAUAUGGAUUUGUAAUAAUGAAAUUAAUAUUCAAAAUACAGAAGCAAAUUCUGUCAAACAAUUGAAGUAAUUUUAGUUUUUUAAGUUUUUUUAACAAAUAAGCUUUUGGUGCUGUGAGUGACAAGAAGAUGAAUAGAAAUUCCACCUGCAUUUUCAUUUUGGAUUUUUUUUCUUGCUCAGUUUCUAAGCAAGAUAAAUUUUUCCCUUCACUUAAUCAGUUUUUUAUUUAGCACAUAGAGUUAUUCAUUUCAGUGCAGUGUGGCUGAAGAAAAUAAAGGGAUUAAAAUAGUCCUUCUGUGAAUCUCUUGCUAUAUUAAAUAACUUAGGUGUGAUUCCUGAAACAGCUUUUCCAUGAUCUGACCGUGACUGGAAUUGUAUUUUACCUGAAGAUCAAUUUGUAAAUAAUUCAGCUUUAAAUGGGAGAGGUUCCUUUUGUGAUUAGCCCUGCUGCAUGCAGCACUGAUGAGGGAGUCUGAUUCAACAGUUUAGAAAAGGAAUUACAGACCUUGCCAAGUCUGCCUUUCACUCCUUGUUUUAUUUCGGUGUUUGUGCCUCUCAGUGAAGAGUUUUUGCAAAGUGCAGAACUCUGAAUUUUGUAUUUGUGUGCUGUGAGUGUAUCCAGUGAUUUCAGUGAUGCUAAAACACAGGUGUCUAGUUGGGGGUUGAGAGAAGUAUUCACAUUGAUGGAGUUCAAAUGGAAACGUUAUUAGCAAAGAUUAAAAACAACUGAAUUGAAAAGCAAUUUCAGAGGGAACAAAUGGAAAGUUGUACUGAGCUAACAUUAAUAUUGAUAUAGAACUAUAAAUACAUGAAUAAUAAAUAUCACUUCUUUUCCCUUCCAACACACAAACUAAAGUUCAUUCCUCUAGAAAAUAAUUAAUUCCUCUAGAAAUAAAUAUAAAAUAUAUAGCUCCUGCUAUAGACAGGAGCUUUGGACGUUGUUCCAAGGGCACAUAUUUGGUCCCUGGGUUCUUGCUUUUUGUUAUCCUGCUCCCUGCACAGGAAUCACUUUGGCUGUGCAUGUUUUAUAAAAUUCCUGCCAUGAAUUUGUUCCUGCAAUGUGUCCUGCAUCAGCCUUAAAUGGAGACCUUGUGUGGCUGUUCUGCUUUUCAGCUGAUCAUUUACCCUCAUCAGAGACAUUAAUGUGCCUCGAGUUAUUGAAAUCUUGUGCCUCCCAGAGCAAUCAGUGCUGCCACGUGGCUUUUCUCACUGAUUGCACACAUGUGGAGAAUUCAAAGCUUUUUUUUUAAAGAGUUGUGAAAUUAAGGCAAUGAUGAAUGAAAGAGCAAAAAUUACUGCAGAUAAAAAAAAUUCAAAGCACUGUGCAUUCAUCUUAUCAUUAAAUGGAACAGCAGCAAUUUGUGAACUAAUUUUAAUUUCCAGUAAGGAACACCAUUCAUUAGGAGAGAAUCCUUUUUAUGGAAUAAAAGAGCUGCCUUCCUGCCAGGCAUGGAUCCUCUCUUGAUGUGCAUUUAUGCUCCCAGUGCUGUCUGACAGCCAUUGCAGCCUCCCAAGGAAACAUCAGGGCUCUUUUCCUCUCCUGGUGCUUCCCUUGCACAGAAAGGAUCUGGGGACAGGUCUGGGGGCUUUGAUGCAGGGGCACUGUUGAGGUGACAAUCAGCUGAUGAUUCUCUUGUGGGAGCUGCAGUCUCUCAGAGCAGCCCCUGGGGAAGGAGCAGACAUUCCCAAAGCUUUGGUGCUCUGCUCCCAAAGGUGGGAGCUGUGCUCCUGCCAGGGCCAGGGAGCAGGACAGCAAUCCCAGAGCCAGAGGGAAUGGCAGGGGCUCUGCUGGCAUCUCCCAGCACCUGGCAUUUCCUCCUGGCUCCUCAGGGAGCUGCCCUAGCUGGGACAGACAGAGCAAAGCACCACUCUCCCUUUUCAGAAGCCUUCAAACUGCUUUUAUUAAGGCAUGAAUGCUUUUUAUGCAUUCUUACAGAACUCCCAAGUUUACACUUACUGGUUAGAAGAGACAAAGUGCUGGUUGGAACAGGCAGCUGCAGUUUCUCUUCUUUCUCCUCCUUUCUUGGUUUCUGUGGCAGUGACCUUGGGAGGAAAUUCUUUCAGGGGUGAGCGUGGAUCUCUUCUCAAACUCCUCUCUGGCUCCCAGAGGUGCCUGUAAAGCCUCUUCCCCAGGGAGCAGUGAUUCCCUUCAGGUGGCUGGAGAUGCCUUUUCAGGACAGCCUGGUUUUGGUUUUGGAGCCUGAGAUGUGCCAGAGUCUUCAGUUCUGCAGGAAAAUGGACAUGAAUAUCCAAAAGUGCUCAGACCCAGGGGAUUCUCACAGGUAACCCCCCAGGGAAGCAUUUCUGGGAGCUUUUGUAGAUGUAAUUACCUGAGUGUAUUUCAAUGUGAUUUCCAAUGUAGAGACAUUUCUCAGGGCUUUGGGAGCUGGGAGAGAGAACCAUUGAAUGAUUUUUAAAUUUCAGGUCAUCUAUAAACCUUAGAAGAGUUUCAUGUAUCUGCCUUUUCUUGCAAUAAUUUUAUAAAGGCUUUGUUCUCACUAGCUGCAAAAAUGACAUUUGAGAAGAGUUUAUUUGCAAGUGCAGCUCUUGACUGAAGGAGAAUUAUAGUUAUUUAUCCAUAGGAAAUACUUUUCCUAAGUGUUGUGUGGGGAGAGAAGUCUACCUUCCUGCUCCUGGAUGGGACAUGGAUUUUAUUUGCUGUAUUUUAAGUUGCUGCUACAUCCCAGAAGACACCAGAGUGUUUCCUUAGAGUGCUGAGCAUUUGUUUACAUUGAUUUCUUCUGCUCCCAGUUCAAAAGAAGCUCCAAGGGGCAGGAAGCAGAAAGCUGCAGCUGUUUAAGGUGAAACCAUGAUGAACUUGUUGCAACUUUAGGAUUUGCUUAAGGUCAAUAAAUUAUAAUGAGCACCCAGCAGUGGGAGGAAACUUCUAUUUGGUAUUGAUCUUUUAAGACUGUAAUUUUUGUUGUUGUUUGCAUUUAAGGAUGAGAAAUUAUUUCUUUAAAAAUAAACUUGGGAUUAAUUUAGCUUUCUGUUAGCUUCAUACAGAAAACAACUGUUUUCUUCUAAAUUAAAAUACUAAGUGGAAGAGAAAGACUUUGCAGUGCCUGUUGAAGGCACAGCACAGGAAAGUAAUGAUUUAUUUACUGUUGAAGCUUUAGUUUUAUGAGUUUUAUGUUUAAAUGGAAAGCAUUUUAAGCAAUAAUUGCAAGCCUUAUAAUGCUGUACAUCUGCUUUGCAAUUAAUUUUAGUCCAUAAAUUGUUCAAGUUAAAGGAACUUGUUGAAGCAGAGCCUGUCUUUAAGUGCCAGGAAUGCCUUUUUUUUUUUUUUUUACCUGCUACAGACUCGUGUCAAUUUGAAUUUAUUGGCAAUAAGUUAAUCAGAUGUUCUUCUUGCACCACCCAUUCUGUAUGGUUUUAUGCAAAUUGGUUAACAUGAGCAAGGAAGUGCCACAUGGGUGGGGGAUGUUAAAUUCUGCAUCUGGGAUGCUCUGUUCUGUGUUCUUGCAGCUCUAAGGCAGCAAAGUGUGUGAUUUGAGGAUUAGAUUUGAGAUCCCAGUGAUUUGCUCAGCUGUUUGACAGCCCCAGUCUGCGUGCCCCAGAUUUGCAUUAUUUUGUAUUGCCCCAAAUGCAAGUAAAGCCUCCCUAAAAUGCACUUUGGAGAAGGCAAUUGACAGUGUCUCAUCAUUUAAAAACCUUUUAUCUCUGAGCAUUCCCCUGGUAUUUAAGUGGGGCUGCCAAAGCAAGCAAGGCACACUUGCUGGCCCUGCUGGUGCUGUGACUCUGAGGAGUGAUCCUUCAUCAGCCCUGCCAGAAAAUCCCCCUCCUCAAAGCACUGUGAUAGUAGAUAGGAAUUAGUUUGUACAAGUAAUCUGCUUUUCUCUUCCCAACCAGAGGUUUUGGGAAAUUCAGGGCUUUGGUGAAUAAGCAGAGUUUUCCUUCUCUGUUUCUUGCAUUGCUAAUUGUUUAAGCUCGUGGCAUCUCAGCAGUUUGAAUCCUCUUGGAGAACUGACCCAGCCAAGUUAAAAAUCAGAUUACAAGCAAUUGGGGCUAUAUUUAGUUACUUCUAUUCAAUUGACAUUAUGAAGCUUUAAGGGAAAAAACCAUCAGUAUUUGAUGUUGUUGAGCUCAAAUGUGGUUUAGUUGUUUGCUUAGUCUGUGGGGAAUGUGUCUCCCAGCACACAAAAUGAUCUGUGUGUGCAGAGCUGCCCUUUCAUAGGUGAAAGUUUAAAAAUAAGAUAAUUAAUGUGUCAGAAAUAUGGCCAGGACCUCUUGCAGUUAGAGAGAGCAACAUCAGAACUCAUUCUGAAAUGUCAGCCCUGGGCAGCCCAGCAACACUCACACACACAGUCCCAGAAGCUGAAACUGGUUUGUUUAUGUGGAGAGCCUGUUGUUCACUGACAGUUGUGAUAGAACUGUUGUCAUUCAAUUUGAUUUCCACUGAGAAAUGUCCCCUGUGGCAUUUACUCAUCAUCUCAUUUACCUGAUUUUUCACCCUGGAAUAAAAUAAUAAUAAUAAUAAUAAUAAUAAUAAUAAUAAUAAUAAUGCCCCCACUAAAAGAGCUUUGAAAUAUUUGCAUGGCUGGUGUCACAUUUGGUGUGACUGGAUGUUUGUCAAGGAAAUCAAUGGAUAUAAUUGAAUUAAAGUGAGGUUAAAUGUUCUGAUUCUGCUGCAGAUAAAUGUUCCAGACCUGCAGCUCCUUACCCUUGUGUUUGCUGGGGUGUGCAGCAGGUGAAUGCUGGGAGUCUUUGGACAAAGUUAACUUUUAAAAAUAUAGUGCUGAAAAAAGGCAAAUUGUUUUGCUGCUCUAAUGGAAUGGCUCUCCUUUGCUGGCCAUGGCUGAAACCAGUUGUGUUUGGUUUGUUAUUUAAUACACUAAAUGGCAGUGUUGCUAAUUAUUGUCCCAAAUAAUCAUCUCUCUAAAUUAGUGGGGGGAAAAAAAUCAAUCAAUUUGUCAUGAUCCCAUUACAAACCUAAUUUCAUAAUUGCUGUGCAGGUUUUUACACUGGCCAUUGAAAGGGAAAUGCUUUUCCUUCAUUUCCUCUUGUGCUUUGAGCAUGCAUGGUUUCUAAGCUGUAACCCUGGUAGAAUUAGAUGUUUCCCAAUUAAAGAUGAGUUUAACCUUGUGGAAAAACAACUUUAAUCUCCUUCUGCUUGGUCAAGUCCAGUUUCCCUGCUGGGAGGCAGGAGAGCAUGAACAUUUCUGUGCUGGUUGGUGGCUGAGGAAUUCAGGUUUCUGGCAGUUUUCUGCCCUCUGCUUUGUUUAUCCUGAGUAAAUUCUGAGAGGGAUGUGAGAAAUCCUGGUGGAAAGGACUGGCAGCCUGUCUUCUGUUCAGUCUGGAGCUUUUAAAAGUCACAAGGAAUCACAAGGGCUCCUUGUGGGCUGUGAGGAGUAGCAGGUUUACCUCGAACCAGAGCAGCACAGCAUCAUCUCAAACCUUUGUUUUACAGCCUCUUUUUCUCAGCUUUAACGAGCCCUGCUGAGGGUUCUGGGAUGGAUGUGGGUGAUUCUCUGUGUGGAGGGGUUUAAUCACUCCAAAUUUGAAAUUUUCCACAAGGUGCACUGAAAUUCUGUAUUUGCCUCUGUGGUGCACUAAGCAUCCCAAGAAUUGUUAGUCAGUUUUUAUUGCAGGCCAUCAAGUGCUGCUGAGGUAUUUCAUGUGAAUUGUUUUAUUUGAUGUAGUCUGCACGUCGCUGGGUGAAAUGGAAUUUGAAAAACUUUAAAUUGGUCAGGUCUCAUCUGGCAAGAUUCCAGAUGUUUAUUUUUAUCAUCAUGUGAGUUUUUUUUUACAGUACUCUGCUUGGUACCUGGCUUUGUUCCCUUUAUUAUAUCUAUGUAUUUUAAUAUCUUUAUGUUCAUUGUUGGGAAAAGAAUUCCACCCAGGCCUGCAUAAUUGAUCAUGAGAUAUUCCAUUUUUUUAUGAGCAGAACAUGGUGUAAGCCAAGAGGGAGCUGUUAGCAAGGCAGUGUUUCAGUGCUUGACCAGUAAUGUGAAAAUUGUUGAUUUGCUUGGAGACAAGCUCAGCCUCAGACUCCAGGCUGCCUUAAGGGGGUGAGCACAGCAAGAGGAGAGGGAACAAAAUGUUCAGCAAGAUGAGGGAGCACUCUGGGUCUUCAGGGGCUGGUGAGAAAUCCAUUUUUAUCUGCCUGCUUCAGAGAGAGUCUGGACCAAAAUUUAGUCUAUCAGCUAAAUUGCCAGAUAAAAAAGAAUCAGUAAAUAAUUCCCAUGCAAAAAAGCAAAAUAUGGAAGGGGUGUGGAUCAGGAAUCACGACCUAAUAGUGAGGAAAAACACUGGAGAGGUUUUUUUUCCACUAUAAUGGAGAAAAAGAGUGAUGGGCUUGUGCAUCUAGGAGGAUGUGGAUUAUGGCAGGAUAAAUUGUGCACUGUCUGCUCUGUUUUAUGAGGUAAAAAUCCAGCAAGUCAACACAGCAGGAACUGCAGCAUUAACAGUAUGUUCCUCAUAAAGCAAAAUUAAUUAAUUUGAAUAUUUGCUGAGAGGUUGUUCUUUAUUUUGUGGUGCAGGAUGGCACUGGUGGCAGAGUGUUGAUGCCAUGGUUUCGUGGUUGUGUAGAUGCCAGACACUGAGGAAGGCAGCAGUGUCUGGCAGGGUUGGAAGGAGGCUGGGAGGGUGAUGGAGCCUCACAGAAAUACCUGUGGGCAGGCCUGGGGCAGGAGAAGUGAGAGCACUACACACAGAGACAAAAAACAUGGCAGAGAAGUGUUGGUAAUUCAUCUCCAUGAAAAAUCCUCUGGUUUUUAUAGGAAUAUUGAGUCUGGGAACCAACCUGAAACCUUGUGUUUGUAUGCCCUCAGUCAUGCCUGCUCACAGCUUUUGUGAACUUCCCCAGGUGCUGAAUUUACCCAGUUCAGCUGCACUCUCAGGGUCUGGGGGGACUCAUUUCUUGUUACCUUGCUGCUGCUCCUCAGAGGGGUUUUCUCUCCUUGUUUCCCCCUUGUACAGAAAGGAUUAAAUCUCUUGUCUUGCCAGACUCAACAGAGCUUUUUAAAGAGCUUUCCACUCCCUUUCCUAUCACAUAAUAUUUCUUUUCUUUAUUUUUUUUCCUCUUUGAUCCAUCUUAAAGCAAAGUGUAAAUGCUCACUACUGUGUUCCAGGUGAUAACUCUGGGAUUAUUUAGGUGUAAUCUUUGCUUGGAUUGAAUUUGAAAAGCACCUAAUAAUGUGUCAUGUUGUACUGCACAAUGUUCAUUUCUCUUACAACUAUUUGAUGUCAGUAAAAAAACAAAAAAAACAAAUCCCUUUGAAAAUGAUCCUUUCUAUUUUUACUGGUCUGGACUAAGGCAGAGUUUUCAUAAAGUUAAUAGUUUAAAAUACAAGAACUUUGGAGCAUUCUAAAUGAAAAUUGUGUUAUGCAAAGCACAAUAUCCAUUUUCUUUGACAGUUUAUUUCUACCCUCAGAUUUUCAUUCCUUUUUCCAAAGGAAAGCCCUGAUGUGACAUAAAAUUUCUUUUCCUCCUUGAUUUGGAACAUCUGGGCUCUUGAAACAUGAUACAAUCAGCAGUUUCUCAGAUUUCUCAGAACAAGAAAUUGAGGAUUUCUGCCAUGGCAGCCCUAAAGGAAACCUAAAAAUACAGGAGGGAAUUUCUCUUUUCCUUCCCCAACCUUUACCAAAAACUUUCUCUGGCUGAAGUAACCAUCAGAUCUGAUGGAAGCUUGUGAAAAGCAGCUGCAGUGACAGCUCAAACAUUAAUUAAAGCCAGCUGAAGUGAGGAAGAGCUGUGUGAUCAAAGAGAGGGAGCGUGGCUGCAGCUUCCCUGAAAGAUUCAGGGCACCCCAAGCUGUAAUUAAAGUCUGAGGCACCUGGUGGUGUGAUCCAGAGCUAACAGAGGAUUUCUAGGAGUGGCCACCAGGCCUUUGCUGAGAUACCUAAAAAGUGAUUUUUAUCAUUGUUAGAGCAUGUCAACACCUUUGUUAUUUGGAACAGUCACAACUAAUUUGAAUAUAAUAUGCAAAACAAAUUUUACAGCAGCAUUUCAUUUGUACAAGCUGCAUUUCUGUUGUUUCCUUCUUGUUUUUAUUCAUCUAAAGAGAUUUUUAUCUAAUUGUUCUCCAGGGAAGGGGUGCUACAAAUCCAUUACUCUGGCAACAUUUUCUCUCUGAUCCAUGCUUGGCUAUCAUGUUCUGUGUUGCCUUCUAAUUAAUGCAGGAAUAGUGAUUAAUGGUUUGCCACCACAAAAUAAAAAAGAUGUUUGAGUUUGAAAAAAAGCUGCAAAUGCUGCUCUGCAUAGUGUUUGAAAUGAGUUAAAAAUCAGAAUAUCACGACUGAGAAUGAAGAACUGGCUGGUUUUUGGUGUCAGGCAGAUCCAAAGUUCUGGUGAUGGCAUCAGUGGAGAUCAAGUGUUGCUUGUGCCAGGAUGAAAGGUUUGGUUUGGUUUGUUUCAGUGGUUGUAGAGCUUUAAAAAACUCUCUUUAAAGUGGGACUGUGGAAUUUGGGGAUUAUUUCUCUGUUACAAUAAGAGGAAAAAUUUCUGACUUCAGCAACUUUCUUUUUAUUUUUCACAAGUGGUUCAGGUUAAUUUAGUUUAAUGCCCAGCUCUAAUUUUGGAGUGUUUUUUUUUUAUUUUAAUACAGAUAAGCUCUCAUCUUCUCUCUAGCCUAUGGCUUUAGAAAUUUUGUCCUUUGUGUUCUGUUUGGAGAGCCAAGUGUUCUUAUUUAUUUUUAAAGUUUCCUUUUUGCUACCACAGGAAAUCCCUAAUUUGCCCCCUAAAUCUUGGAGCCAACUUUCCCAGUCUAAAACAGCUCAAGUUUUACAUUCUGUGGGGCUUUGCUCCUUGGGCUGAAUAUUUUCAAAGUAGGCCCUUGUUUAUCAGUUUUUGCCCAGAGACUUCCUCUGGGACUUUUAGAGAAUUGAGCAGGGAUCUUUGUGUCCUCGUUAACAGAAGUAUAAAUAAAAAAGUAAUAUUGAAAUGAUGUUGACAGAAGCUUUCUGCUGUGCAUAGCAAUGUGGUGGAAUCGAUGGAAAUUGUCCUUUCAUUGCAGAGGAGUUGAAAUGCAGCAGAGUUGGGGACUGGAUUGAUUGCUUAGAGCUGGGAGGAAGUGAACCCUGACAGAUUUUUUUAGUGUUUACCAAGAUGAAAGUUUUACAGCCAUUUAGGCACAAGUCUGAAAGCUUCAUCUUAAUUAAUGGGAAUUAAUUGUUAUUCUGAGAUUUUGGGAGAAGGAGCAGGUCCGAGCCAGGGUUGUUCUUGGAUGGUUGUGACUUUUCUGUGCCUCAUCCCCACAAACACAAACCCCACUGAAAUCCUGGCUUUUUCCAGUGAAUGCCAUGUGUUAGAUCAUUCUGAUAGUUAAUGAUAAUUUCAGGUACUAUGGAACAAAGGGGGAGGCAGAGCCCUCCUUGCUGAGAAUCCCCUGCUCCACUGUGCUUGGCUUUCUUUGGGUUUUCCCUGAGCUGUUCUGUCAAACACUGACUGAUGAGGUAAUUUGCUUUGUAAUGAGAAAGAAA